GCAACCUCGGGCUCGCGCGGCAGAACCGCACCGUGUUCCUGAGCCUGCUCGGCAUUUCGUGGCUGUGGUUCGUCGGCGCGACGUUCCUCACGUCGUUCUUCAAUUUCGCCAAGGACGUGCUG
rfam:Burkholderia latens strain AT17928 chromosome 1, complete sequence.